rnacentral:sRNA from 1 species
AAACAGCCAGUGCAGAGGAGAGGAACGUGUGUCCAGUGUCCCGAUCCCUGCGGAGCUAGUAGCUGAGAGCUCUGUGCCCUGGGCACCUUGCAGCCCUGCACCUGCCUGCCGCUUCCCCACCGAGGCCAUGGGCCCAGGAGUUCUGCUGCUCCUGCUGGUGGCCACAGCUUGGCAUGGUCAGGGAAUCCCAGUGAUAGAGCCCAGUGUCCCUGAGCUGGUCGUGAAGCCAGGAGCAACGGUGACCUUGCGAUGUGUGGGCAAUGGCAGCGUGGAAUGGGAUGGCCCCCCAUCACCUCACUGGACCCUGUACUCUGAUGGCUCCAGCAGCAUCCUCAGCACCAACAACGCUACCUUCCAAAACACGGGGACCUAUCGCUGCACUGAGCCUGGAGACCCCCUGGGAGGCAGCGCCGCCAUCCACCUCUAUGUCAAAGACCCUGCCCGGCCCUGGAACGUGCUAGCACAGGAGGUGGUCGUGUUCGAGGACCAGGACGCACUACUGCCCUGUCUGCUCACAGACCCGGUGCUGGAAGCAGGCGUCUCGCUGGUGCGUGUGCGUGGCCGGCCCCUCAUGCGCCACACCAACUACUCCUUCUCGCCCUGGCAUGGCUUCACCAUCCACAGGGCCAAGUUCAUUCAGAGCCAGGACUAUCAAUGCAGUGCCCUGAUGGGUGGCAGGAAGGUGAUGUCCAUCAGCAUCCGGCUGAAAGUGCAGAAAGUCAUCCCAGGGCCCCCAGCCUUGACACUGGCGCCUGCAGAGCUGGUGCGGAUUCGAGGGGAGGCUGCCCAGAUCGUGUGCUCAGCCAGCAGCGUUGAUGUUAACUUUGAUGUCUUCCUCCAACACAACAACACCAAGCUCGCAAUCCCUCAACAAUCUGACUUUCAUAAUAACUGUUACCAAAAAGUCCUGACCCUCAACCUCGAUCAAGUAGAUUUCCAACAUGCCGGCAACUACUCCUGCGUGGCCAGCAACGUGCAGGGCAAGCACUCCACCUCCAUGUUCUUCCGGGUGGUAGGUAAGCAUCAGGGUGGUGGUGGACAGUUGGUAGGGAUCCUGCAGGAGUGUGAGCAGAAGGGUUUUGAGGAGGAAGCUGAUGUCAGGGAAGGAGACCUGCUGAGGAUAUCUCUGCUGGAGUUUGUUUAUCCAAGGCCUGGCUAAGGAGCCACUCUCCAGGAGCUUUCCCUUACCCUCUCCUGGGACCUCUCUCCCAUCUUGGAGCUCUUACACUGCAUGGCUGCAUUGGGUGCACCUUAGUGCCAUUUUUUGUUUAUUUGGGGAUUGGGGUCCAGUAGCUCCCUACUGGACUUCAUUUGUUCAUUCUUUCAUGCAUUCCUUUAUGGAAACAUGAAAAGACAAUGAUCACCCAGUGAUUAUGGGGGAAGCACAA